rnacentral:rRNA from 1 species
GAAUAUUGGACAAUGGGGGGAACCCUGAUCCAGCCAUGCCGCGUGUGUGAAGAAGGCCUUUUGGUUGUAAAGCACUUUAAGCGAGGAGGAGGCUACUCUAGUUAAUACCUAGAGAUAGUGGACGUUACUCGCCGAAUAACCACCGGCUACCUCUGUGCCAGCCGCCGCGGUAAGACAGAGGGUGCAAGCGUUAAGCGGAUUUACUGGGCGUAAAGCGCGCGUAGGUGGCAAAUUAAGUCAAAUGUGAAAUCCCCGAGCUUAACUUGGGAAUUGCAUUCGAUACUGGUUGGCUAGAGUAUGGGAGAGGAUGGUAGAAGUCCAGGUGUAGCGGUGAAAUGCGUAGAGAUCUGGAGGAAUACCGAUGGCGAAGGCAGCCAUCUGGCCUAAUACUGACACUGAGGUGCGAAAGCAUGGGGAGCAAACAG